UCAAACCAUGGUUACUGGUUCGGGUAGGCGGUAAGAGGCUGGUGGUGAUUUGGUUAGCGAAAGGUAGUCGACCGAUCACACCAAUCCUCCGCUCUUCUCCCACCGAUCCUCUUCUCUCCCCGCAAACUAACCAGAAGAAGUAAUAAUCGACCCCUAAGAGAAAGGGAGAGAGAGAGUGUGUGUGUGUGUGUGUUCUCCAUCCAUCGAGGGACCCGCUUCGAUCUCGGCUCGAAGGUAAACCGCCGGCGGGAAGAUGGAGCCGGAGCGGGCGAAUCCCUCGCCGCUCGAACUCAUCUCGGCGAUCCUCACCGGAGGCGAGGGCGCGCCGCCGGAUGCGGAGCUGGCGGUGAUACUCGCCACCUCCAUCGCUGUGCUCCUUGGGUGCACCUUCAUCUUCCUCUGGCGGCGGUCGUCCGUGCAGAAGGCGAGCAAGCCGGCUGAGCCGCUGAAGCCCUUGUCGGUGAAGGUAGACCGUGAGCCGGAGGCCGACUACGGGAGGAAGAAGGUCACCAUCUUUUUCGGCACGCAAACCGGCACCGCAGAGGGUUUCGCUAAGGCCCUUGCGGAGGAGGCAAAAGCUCGAUACGAUAAAGCCACCUUUAAAGUCGUUGAUUUGGACGAUUAUGCAGCUGAUGAUGAUGAGUAUGAGGACAAGUUGAAGAAAGAGACUCUAUCUAGCUUUGUUCUUCUUGGCUACUUAUGGAGAUGGGGAGCCUACUGAUAAUGCUGCUCGGUUCUAUAAAUGGUUUACAGAGGGUAAGGAGCAUGGAAACUGGUUAGAGAAUCUUCAGUAUUCUGUGUUUGGUCUAGGCAACAGGCAGUAUGAGCAUUUCAAUAAGGUUGCGAAGGUGGUGGAUGAGAUCCUCGCUGAUCAGGGUGCGAAGCGCCUUCUCUCUGUGGGACUUGGAGAUGAUGAUCAAUGUAUCGAAGAUGACUUUAGUGCAUGGAGAGAGCUUCUAUGGCCAGAGUUAGAUCAGUUGCUUCGGGAUGAAGAUAAUGUUUCUGGUGCAUCUACUCCUUAUACAGCUGCUAUUCCUGAAUACAGAGUAGUUUUCAUAAACCGUGAAGAUGUGGCAAACUUAGAGAAGAGUUGGAGUCUUGCAAAUGGUCAUGCGGUGCAUGACAUGCAACAUCCAUGCAGAGCUAAUGUGGCUGUGCGUCGGGAGCUCCAUACCCCAGCUUCAGAUAGGUCCUGCAUCCACCUGGAGUUUGGCAUUGCUGGCACCGGUCUUGUGUAUGAAACCGGAGACCAUGUUGGUGUAUUUACAGAGAAUUGCACUGAUACAGUAGAAGAGGCAGAAAGACUGUUAGGUUAUUCAUCGGACACAUAUUUCUCAAUCCAUGUUGACAAAGAGGAUGGUACACCACUUAGUGGUGGUUCUUUGUCACCUCCUUUCUCAUCUCCAUGCACCUUAAGAACUGCACUUACCCGAUAUGCUGAUCUUCUAAAUUCACCCAAAAAGAGUGCAUUGCUUGCAUUAGCUAAGUAUGCAUCUGAUCCAAGUGAAGCAGAGCGACUUAGAUUUUUGGCUUCUCCUGCUGGAAAGGAUGAAUAUUCUCAAUGGAUUGUGGCUAGUCAGCGGAGCCUUCUUGAAGUAAUGUCUGUAUUCUCUUCAGCCAAGCCUCCACUAGGAGUUUUCUUUGCUGCAGUUGCACCCCGUCUCCAGCCAAGAUAUUAUUCAAUAUCAUCUUCUCCAAAGAUGGCACCAACUAGAAUCCAUGUGACCUGUGCUCUAGUAUAUGAAAAAACACCAACAGGAAGGAUUCACAAAGGGGUCUGUUCAACUUGGAUGAAGCAUUCUGUUCCACUUGAAGAGAGUCAAGAAUGUAGCUGGGCUCCUAUCUAUGUGAGACAGUCAAACUUUAGACUUCCCUCAGAUCCCUCUCUGCCAAUUAUCAUGAUUGGACCUGGGACAGGGUUGGCACCGUUCAGGGGGUUCUUGCAGGAAAGGUUGGCCUUGAUGGAGGCUGGAAUGCAACUUGGUCAUGCUACUCUUUUCUUUGGAUGCAGGAAUCGCAAAAUGGACUUCAUCUAUGAGGAUGAGCUGAAAAAUUUUGUUGGAACUGGGGCACUUUCUGAGCUGAUUCUUGCCUUCUCCCGGGAGGGUCCGACAAAGGAAUACGUGCAGCAUAAGAUGGCUGAAAAGGCAUCGGACAUUUGGAAUAUCAUCUCUCAAGGUGGUUAUAUAUAUGUAUGUGGUGAUUCUAAGGGUAUGGCUAGAGAUGUCCACAGAGCUCUUCAUACCAUCAUUCAGGGACAGGGUUCUCUUGAUAGCUCCAAGACUGAAAGCAUGGUGAAGGGUCUGCAAAUGGAUGGAAGGUAUUUGAGGGAUGUUUGGUGAGCUGCUGCAUGGUUCUCUUUUUUCUCCUGGAAGUGCUCUCAUGCAGGGACUCUCUUUUCAGAAACCUCUGCCACAGAUCAAGUAUAGCCUUUGGACAACACUUCAAUCAUCUAAUUCUUUUAACUAUCUAACAAGUUUUUUUUUUUUUUUUUUUGUUCAUGUAAUGUAUGCCCUUAUUUGUAUUAAUUAGUAGGCAAAUUUGUUCGGGAAAAGUCUAUAUAUACGUAGGAAGGGGCGGGGAAAUAGUGGAAGAACUCGGAACAUGAGAAUCAAAACCUAGGCUUGUUUCUUGAUACUUUCCAAUGCUGUAUGUAUGCUCUUUGCUUGUGAUACAUGUCAAUGGUUUUAUUAUGUUAAUCUUCUGUGUACGUUGAUUCUGUUUGUCA